UUCGUGCAUGGCCGGGCAGCCGGCUCCCUCCAGCCCCCGGCUGCGCGGCGGGCUCGGCGCGGCGGCAGAGCCGCUGCCGGGCGGAGGGGAGGGCUGCGCGGCUGCCGGGGUCACAGCGAGCCGCUCGCUCUGCUGCGGGAUCUUGGACGGCAGCGGCUGUGCCGCCCCUGGCGGGGAGCGCCUCGCCUGACCCGCUGCCGCGAUCCGUUUUGGGAGGGGGAGAUGGACGCCGCAAAUGCUGGCCGAGCCUGGCUGGAGCAGGGUGAAGGGCUGCGACAGUUCCACAGAUGGGCAUUUAAAGCUCUGAUGUAAAUCCUACUGAAGCGAGGGGCUGAGGCAGUUCUGCUGACUUCAGGGGGAUCAUUUUGAAGAAUGGGGGUAAGUGAUUCUUAGUGGACUGUGACAGAGAAUUGUGCUACUGACAACACAGUCAUCUUUUCUAUCUAAGGCUCUUUUUCAAGCCCUGGUAAAAAUUGAACCAUAAAUGAAAGUACAUGGUAAGAACUUGGUGAAAUGAAAAAAUCCAGAAUGAAUGUUUUGACCCUUCUGGUUCCCCUUCCUCCAUUAAAUCUUGUGCGAGCUUUGUACGAGCCUAGGAAAUACACAUGGAAGCGGUUCGCCGUUAGUGAUGAGCAGUGCUGUGGAGCUGUAGGGUGAUUAGGGCCUUGACUGAAAUUCGCCAGAGUGAAAUGAUGCCACUGUCUGGAUACAAAUGUUUUCUAAAGCUUGUCCUUUGGGUUGAUACUUUGGUAAAACAGAACACCCUGCCAGCAAUGUUGAACUAUGCUGUUUCAAUGUUCUUAGGCUGAAGUUCAUCAGUUAGAGAGGCGUAUUUUAACUUUAUGUAUAGAAAAAUAAAGUGUUUCAAUUUAAGAGAUCAAGUAAAAAAAAAAACAAACCACCAACCAAAAAAAACCCCCAAAGCAUUUACCCAAACUAAAAUUCUUUUGCCACUUCAUUUCGUGGAACCAUGGAGCCCCUCAGGCAUUUACAGUGUUUUGAGGUGGCCUUCUUACUUAAACAGAACACUUGGUGACUUCCCAGCUCUGCCUUACAGGUUCAUGGGCUGGUGUGCUUCACAGUUACCACAAGAAUUAGUUGGAGACCAUGACAAUUAAAUAUGAUUAUGGAUUAUUAUCAUAUUCUAAAUACUAAAUGAUUCUGACAAAUAUUCUCAGAGAGAUUUGAAAACUGACCUGCACACUGUGCACUGCAUUUGCUUACAUAUUUAGGCUACUGGUAUUUCUGGGAAGCUAUAGUUUAUUAAUUCAUUAUUAUUUUAUUGAUGUUCAAUUGAUGUCUUAUUAAAUGUAAAUUAGAUAUUUGGGAAUAAUAAUUUAGUGGGAUGAGGCAGGUGAGAUUCCCCCAGGAUAGGUUGUAAUGAAGCUUCAGAUUGUUAAUAAUCCUACACUCAUAAAUAAAUUAUUAAGGGUGAAACGAAUGCAAGAAUACUGAAAUAAGCUAUGAAAAUGUUAAGUGGUGGUGAACAGACACAUAAUUUGCUGGGAGAUCUGUGUGAUAAUGUAUAUUUGGCACUAAGUCACGUAAGUCAGUCAUGUCAGUGCUCCCCACUCCUUCCAACCAUUUAAUAUUUUGCCAUGUCUCUACUCGUCCUACCCCAUUAUUAUGCCAUGCCAUUCUGUUCACAGGCAUUUUGCUUUGCAUGGGAACAGUGUUAAUUUAAUACACUCAGCUGACCUCGGUGGCACUGAAGUGACACAGCAGCAGCAGUCCAGAGUGCUGCAGUAUAUCCUGCUGUUAGCAGAACUCUUGGGGAGACCAUGUACUUUUCUGGACAGUUGUCUGCGAACUCUUUUGGGAAAAGCUGGGGGGAGCUGGCUCUUCGACCACACUGUAAGUGUCAAGAAGGACACAUCCUCUCACUUAGCUCUCAUCUUUUCCAUGGAAGACAUAUUUUUCUUGAAGAGUUAAGAAAAGACAGAAUAGAGAACCUACUGUUAUAUAAGAAAAGAAGGGAUGUAUAGAAGGAGAGGAUUCUGUUAGUGUAAGUAUUGGUUGGUGCUUUGGUUUUUUGGAUGCCCAGCAUCCUGCAAAAGUCUUAAGAAAUCCAAAACCCCCAUUUCUUCAGUAAAAACGUCACCGCUAUCCCAGCCUUCAAAGACAGAGCUAAAUCGCAAGGGAAUACUCUGUGUCUGUCUUUUGCACUCGCUGCAGCGGGAACUGCAAAAACUCAGCACUUUGUAAAAUGCUGCUGGUAAUUUGAAGAGUUAAGUGAUGUCGCAGGUUAGUGAAUGUAAAGAAGCUUAGUGCCUAAAACUAAUUUCCUGGUAUUUCUGUCAGUGGAAGUAAGAGAUACACAGAAUUCUGAAAAUCUGGCCCUAUGGCUCUAGUGUUACAUGUAAGUAGCGGUGACGGAGGAAUUCAGAUAGGGAUUCGGUUGUACCCAAUACGGAAUUUUGUCCCAAAUUCAUUUUGGGUAGCUUGAUGUCACUUCUGUAACGUUAAAGCUGAGGGCACUCUUGCUACUCAUGGUGGUUUUGAUAAAAAGCUCAAUUAAAUUUUUUUAGAAAAUUAACAAAGGGGUGGCUUAGUCACCGGCUUAGACUUUCACCUAAAAUUCUGUUCCAGGAAUUUGAUGGUUAUUGAAUGGCCUGAAGGGUUGCAAACUAGAAUUUUGGCAUAAUACAAGGUACAGAAAAAAGACAAAUAUGCUGCUUUUCUGAUGAAAGACCUUGGUUGCUAGGAAGAGAGUAUUCAAGUGUUUGCUUAUGUUUUGCUGGGGUUUUAACAGUCUGGAAUAAAUAGGUAACACUGUGCCUUUUAAAUAAUGUUUUCUUGAAUAGUCAAGCUAUAACCUAAUGAAAUUAAGUAAUCACAUUUCCUUAAAAAUUGAGAAUUACAGUAUCUCUGUAAUUAAAGUGCUGUAUAUGUCAAACAGAAAUCUGCUGGCUAAUACAUUUUUAUAUGCUUUUGUAAUUGGAGGUUUUUAAAUAAUCUUGCAUGAUUUAUUAUCUUUUUUAUAUAUAUAUAAAAUCGUUAUAACAUAUAUAUAACAAAUAUAUGUUAAUAUAAUUAAUCAUUAUAUUAACAGCUUGAAUGUUGAAAACCAGAAAAUUCUGAUGCCUCGCCCUAGCAGGGUAAGGACAGAGAGGUUAUUUGUGUGAUUUUGCAGCAUCCAUAGCGGAAUAAUGUUCUUUUUGUGAACGGUUGUUCCUGUGCAUCUGCCAGGAGACCCAUAGAUAUGGAAAACAAAUCCAGCUUGAAUCAUUUGCCACUUUUUCCCUGAUGUGCCAGCGUGAUCUGGUGGCACUGUUGGCAAGUUCCUGUACCUACAGUCACUGUCGCUUUUCUGGGGAGCCGCGUUAAGCAAUUGCUUUGGUCACCAGGUGCUUGUCCCUCCUCCACUUGCCUGCACAGGCUGGUCUUGGAAGAAGGUCCUGCCCUGCUCUUGAUGUUGUUUGCACGGUCCCCACAUUUCUUGUGGCUCGAUGUCAGCACGACAAAAAACCCUUCCCAGGCUCUGCUUGCCGCCAUGGAUGUAGGAGCGCUGUGAGAGAUGAAUAAAUGGUUUGUAAGAUCCCUUCCACUUUCUCAUUUAGGAAUUAGAGAAGUCUUGAGGCUAGUUCCACGCUUGGGGCUGUUUUCUUGUCCUGCAAGAAAAUAAGAAAUAAAUUACUUCAAACACAGCACCACGUUCUGCAGCUUUUAUGCAGACAGAGGUGCUGUUGUAAUUGCAGUUUAUCUGCCUGUGUAAGAACUGCAAGAUUAAAUAGGCAUUAAGUAGGCAUUUAAGCUGUUUGGGGCCCGACAUCCAUCCCUCUGGUGUGUGUACAUAAAGCUCGGCUGAGGGAACGCGGCAAACAUCCUGCAGCCUCCAGACACACCUAAAAAUCGGUGCUUCUGCAUUUGCCCUUGUCUCCCUUUAAACUGCUACUGCUGUUGCUGCACAUCUUUAUUCAGAGUUACAUCUAGCGAGGUGGGAGUAGAGGGUAACAUUUGUAGUAAUUGGUAAUCAAAAUGAAAGAGGAAACAACGAAAAGGCCUAUAAUGCAAGAUGAUCAUGAAGUGCCAAAUAAAAUUUGCGAAAGGUGUUCCUUCUAAAUUAGACGGAGGCAGCAUUUUGUCAGAUUGAUAUCGCCUCAGUGACUCCAGUACAGCCUUGGUAGCUUUUGGCUAACAAAUGAGAAGGGUUGUGGUAUGCCCUGUGAUUAAAACAAUAAGACCAAAGAACACAGGGAAUUAGUAACCCUUGACUGUGGUCAGGAAUCCCUGUAAAACUAGGAUUGGCAAUGUCCAAGAGUUGGAGCUGAUACAAAUCACAUAUAUGGCCUGAUGAGCUAUGAAGCCAGCCUCAUAGAUCAGUCACAGCCAGAAGUGCACAGCUUAACAGCAAACUGAGCUCAGCAGUAAAUAUUACAGCUCAAGGAGUACAUGCCCUGGUGCUCGGGGAUGGUAAUGGAAAAGCAUCUAUUGACUUCAUUUGGAGUUCGAGCUGCCUGUUAGAGGAAGUGCACUAAGUGUCUAACCCAGCUGUUGCCCAUCUUUAUCUGCACAUUUUACCCAGUCAGAUUCAUUUAAUUACCAAUAUAAUAAUGUGUUCUCGCUGCAACUUAACACUACAAUAUAUUUUAACUCGAUGUUACUGCGGUGCAGCUGUAAGUCAAAUACUGUGUUUUAUUUCAAAAUACAAGGUGGGAAUAGAGAAAGCAGCUGUCAUACAACAGAGGGGCAACCUCGUAAUAGCAAAUGGCAUUUCAGUUAAAUUUUCAGAGGGGGAAUGAUAUUCUAGGUGUUUUCUGUAUUAAAAUAUUGUAGUAGCUUGUUGACAGAAGCAAACAGCUCAUGGCUUCUUACCUGCUUUUUGUUAGACUUCACUGUGCAAUAGCAGUCCUUGACUCCGGCAGAACGCUUCUUUGUCUGCGGAGAUGAAGGCCUCGUAGAGUAAGCAAACCUUAAAAACAUACCCCAAGCCCAAAGAAACAGUCUUUGGACUGGGAUCCAGGUAUCCUGGUUCAUAGCCAGAACAACUUACACUCAAGACCAGACUAGAUGUGCCUGUAGUAGCUCCUAGAAGGGAAGAGUCAUACAUAUGCAUGCGUAUGAACCUGUGAGCUGGUAACCUCACACCUUGCUGAAGACAGCUCUGCAGCAGGAAGGUGCAUCACGGCUGCAUUUUUCAUCAGGAGACUAUGUUAUUUUUUGCUGCAACAACUGUAUAUAACCCGACAAUUUUUCUCUCCAGUCUCUUGGGUUAACUUUUAUCCGUGGUCGAGUUUAGAAUCCCCAAAUGAUUAUGUAAUGGGUACAAAACACCUGAUAAUAUAACAGGCCUCUUCUAAUUUUUUUUAAAGCUGCAUUAAUGUAGCUCCUUAGGUGUCAUUGUGUCUUUUUCAGCAUCACUCCAUUGUGAAUCAUGCACAGACAGCAGCGAGAGAACAGAACCUACCGCAGCCUGUGAGCAGCAAGGAAUUUCAGCUGGAUGACUGCAUAAGGGUUUUGCAAGGCCGCCAGUAAUUUUUUAUAUUCAGAGUUAAAUAGAGCAAUAAGAUGGAAUUUAAGCUUUAGUGCAAUGGAUUGCGGCUCUUCAGUCAAUCAAAUUAUAGUUCAAUCAGUUCAUUUUAAUCACUUCUCUGGAGAGAAGUAAACCCCUAUGUUGAAGAAUAUGCAGCAAUUUUAUUGAUGGAAAGUUUAAUUGUUUCAUUUUUCCUUACCGUCUGUAACACACUAGACUUUUAAUCAGUGGGAACUGAAGUUAUAAUGAAGUAAAGUCCACUUUCCACAGUUCACAACUAGCUGAAAAUAAUUGGGUUGAGACUCCCAUCCAGACAGUGUAAUGCCUCUGGCAUUUUCCUGAAAACUACACUUAAUUGCUUUGCUGAUGUUGUUAAGUGGUCCUGAGGGGGAUGAAGUAGUAAAGCUGCCCACAUAUGCAGGGAAACAAUACACAAAAAAUGUCUUACAAGGUCCUUAAAGGAGGACCAACUAGUGACUAAAAGACAAUAUAUGGCUUUUUUUCUUUCCUUUUCUAUACUAGAGAGAGCACACAGGAGAGACUGAUAAAAUAAACUGUGGAAAUUCUAUGAACACUAACAGUAUUUUUAUUUAAGGGCAGAAGGCUUGGGACUAGAAGUACAGAAGACAUCAAGGAAGACCUCUUGCAAUCAAACCUGCAACUUAAGGCUAGCCCAGCUCAAUUGGCAUCUUUAUGCUGAACGCCGGUUCGCACUGCCUGCUUGCAGCACUUUGGGCUGAGGAACAGAUGUACUCUUGUCCCCGGGGAGGGCGGACAGCUUGCGCUCUGCGCUCUGCAGUGGCAGGAUGCGAGCCAGCUAGGAGCUGAAAGCCUUGUCCGGGCAUCAGUGGGACCAGCGAUCGCACCCCGUUAGGCUCUAAAUGUAAGCAGAGAAGGAACAAUAUUUUAGAAUUUCUCUUUAGUGCAUUUGUGGGAAACCCUCCUCAGCUGAAUGGUGUUGGUUUAAAAUUAUGAAUUAACUGCUAGACUUAAGGAUAUUCUGAUGCAGAAAUGUGUUAGUUAUUUAAUAUAGAAAAAUAUUUAUUCAGGACACAUGAAUUAGGUAGUGACCAUGAACUUGAAUUCAGGGUUGGAGCUGUUUUGAGGAAGGCAAGGACAAUAGGGCUAAUUUAGCUUAAAGCGAUUGUUGGGGUUUUUUCUCCUUGUUUACUUACAUAUGCAGAUGCAGUAAAGUGUCUCUCAGCAGCCUGACCUUCCUUAGCUGGUAUCUGUGUAAACUUCCGUAUGGCCUUUGCUUAUUUUAUUCUUGCUUUCCCAGGCUCUGAGCUGAACAACUUUUUAGAAAGGGAUGUGGGCAAAAUUUAGGCAUUGAAUUCUAAAGCUGAAAUCUUAACCCUGUGUCUGUCCCUGGGAGCACCUCAAGAGCCUCCAAGUUGGUACCUUAAAUUUUGGCCGACAGAGCUCUCCCACCACCUGAAAUGAUGCUUUUUCUGCCGAAACAUGCUUAAGUCUAGACAGGACUUGAGUGCCUUGGCAUGUAGCCCCAUGUUAGCCUGACCAAUCCCCAUAAUAUUAAUGAGCUUUAAUGCCUGUUCUCCUGUGGCAGAAUAGUCGCCUCCCAUGUGCUGGAACUGCCAACCAUAUGCCAAGGAGAUCAAGCCGUCAGUUUUGAGACUAGCGCUGGGAGUAGCCUGCUGUGUCUCAUUUACUCUGCUGGCCUGGUGCUGGGAGAGUGGCUCUGCAGCAGCAGUAGCUGCGCUCUACUGUUCCUGGGGUCCCUUUCUGAGAGGUGUAACAGAGUAUGGAAUGGUUCUAGCAAAUGCAGCAACUUAAGAACUGCACUGUGACAACUGGUGGGAGACUGCUUGGGCUUUGUACACUUACUGAUGCUGAAGGACUGCAGGAACCAGGGCAGAUCUUCACUGCAGAGGGGAAAAAAACCAACCUGAUGUGGCCGGCUGAAAUUUGCCACUACGCGUGGUCUGGCUGUUUUAGAGGGUAUUUUUUCCUGACCCUUCUUUUUGGUCAGGGUCGCUAUCCCAGAAGGAGGAUAGAAGGUGCUCCCUGGAACUGGAUGCCAUUUCUCAGCAGAGCUACUUGCUGGGUCUCACAUGCUUUUAAAGUCUACUGUGGGCCUGAAUGGAAACAAGAGCGAGCGAAUGAUUUGACACACAUUCUCCUGAUUGGACAUACUGUAUGCUUACAACACGGUAUGUCCCCCAGAAGUCCAAAAUACAUGUUCCUGAACAGGCACAAAUCUGACUGUUCCCCUGAUAAAUUGUACGUGUGGAAAGAUAUAAUUUGUGUGGUUGUCAUCAAACCCAACGUAUGUAUUCAUUUGUGGAAGCAUGUCAGACACCAUAUGUCAGUAAUAUGCCUUUGAUAUGUUGGUGUCUGAAUCAUUUUAACAGCUGAAUGGCAUAUGUGUAAAUAUAAACAUCUGUCCUAUGUUUGUACUGUCUGUAUUUAUAUUUUUCUCUUGACUAAGACUUUGAUUCAAACCCAGGAAAAGUGUGGGAUUCAUCCUAUUUUUAAAGAAAUCCAGUAUUUGUAGUAUUUCAGCAUGUGACCAAUUUUUUUUUUUUUUUUUUAAUAUCUAGAUGAGAAGGGGAUUCAAAAGAAAUUUUUUUCCCUUUUGGUAACUGGAACAAACUCAUUUUUCAGGUAAAAUAAAAAUUUGGUGUUACUAGAAGUUUGUUAAAUGAGAAGAUUAUUGUUUUAGUGUUGGGUAGGUUCUAUAAUGUAUGGAUUUACUGAAAAGCAAUCCAGUAAGAGUGGUGCAUUAAACCACGAUAACAGUAAGUCGGUUUUAUCCAGAAACUUUUCUGGUGCAGUCAAAGAACUUGCAGCGUAAUAAAUUACUUAAUAAAGGAAUGGAAUAAUA